rnacentral:guide_RNA from 1 species
UAUCCAUAUACAGAGAAUUAGAUAGAUGUAUAAAGA